rnacentral:rRNA from 1 species
AUUGAACGCUGGCGGCAUGCCUUACACAUGCAAGUCGAACGGCAGCACGGGUGCUUGCACCUGGUGGCGAGUGGCGAACGGGUGAGUAAUAUAUCGGAACGUACCUUAUUGUGGGGGAUAACGCAGCGAAAGCUGUGCUAAUACCGCAUAAUCCCUAAGGGGGAAAGCGGGGGACCGUAAGGCCUCGCGCAAUUAGAGCGGCCGAUACCUGAUUAGCUAGUUGGUGAGGUAAAGGCUCACCAAGGCAACGAUCAGUAGCUGGUCUGAGAGGAAGGUCAGCCACACUGGGACUGAGACACGGCCCAGACUACUACGGGAGGCAGCAGUGGGGAAUUUUGGACAAUGGGGGCAACCCUGAUCCAGCAAUGCCGCGUGAGUGAAGAAGGCCUUCGGGUUGUAAGGCUCUUUUGUCAGGGAAGAAACAGCAGCUCUAACACAGUAUGCGAAUGACGGUACCUGAAGAAUAAGCACCGGCUAACUACGUGCCAGCCGCCGCCGUAA